rnacentral:rRNA from 1 species
GCAAGACGGAAAGACCCCGUGAACCUUUACUAUAGCUUGACACUGAACACUGGUCCUUGAUGUGCAGGAUAGGUGGGAGGCUUUGAAGCGCGGACGCCAGUUCGUGUGGAGCCAUCCUUGAAAUACCACCCUUUAAUGGCUGGUGUUCUAACGUAGACCCGUGAUCCGGGUUGCGGACAGUGUCUGGUGGGUAGUUUGACUGGGGCGGUCUCCUCCUAAAGAGUAACGGAGGAGCACGAAGGUUAGCUAAUCCUGGUCGGACAUCAGGAGGUUAGUGCAAAGGCAUAAGCUAGCUUGACUGCGAGCGUGACGGCGCGAGCAGGUGCGAAAGCAGGUC